rnacentral:rRNA from 1 species
AGAGUUUGAUCCUGGCUCAGAACGUACGCUGGCGGCACGCCUAACACAUGCAAGUCGAACGAAGUAGCAAUACUUAGUGGCAGACGGGUGAGUAACAUGUAGGUAUCUACCCUAUGGCCUGGAAUAACACGAGGAAACUUGUGCUAAUACCGGAUAAGUCUUUACGGAGAAAGCUUUAUGCACCAUUGGAUGAGCCUGCACUUGAUUAGUUUGUUGGUGGGGUAAUGGCCUACCAAGACUUUGAUCAAUAGCUGAUUUGAGAGGAUGAUCAGCCACAUUGGGACUGAGACACGGCCCAAACUCCUACGGGAGGCAGCAGUGGGGAAUCUUGCACAAUGGAGGAAACUCUGAUGCAGCGAUGCCGCGUGAGUGAAGAAGGCCUUUGGGUUGUAAAGCUCUUUCGUCGGGGAAGAAAAUGACUGUACCCGAAUAAGAAGGUCCGGCUAACUUCGUGCCAGCAGCCGCGGUAAUACGAAGGGACCUAGCGUAGUUCGGAAUUACUGGGCUUAAAGAGUUCGUAGGUGGUUGAAAAAGUUGGUGGUGAAAUCCCAGAGCUUAACUCUGGAACUGCCAUCAAAACUUUUCAGCUAGAGUUUGAUAGAGGAAAGCAGAAUUUCUAGUGUAGAGGUGAAAUUCGUAGAUAUUAGAAAGAAUACCAAUUGCGAAGGCAGCUUUCUGGAUCAUUACUGACACUGAGGAACGAAAGCAUGGGUAGCGAAGAGGAUUAGAUACCCUCGUAGUCCAUGCCGUAAACGAUGUGUGUUAGACGUUGGAAAUUUAUUUUCAGUGUCGCAGCGAAAGCGAUAAACACACCGCCUGGGGAGUACGACCGCAAGGUUAAAACUCAAAUGAAUUGACGGGGACCCGCACAAGUAGUGGAGCAUGUGGUUUAAUUCGAAGAUACGCGCAGAACCUUACCAACACUUGACAUGUUCGUCGCGACUUUAAGAGAUUAAAGUUUUCGGUUCGGCCGGACGAAACACAGGUGCUGCAUGGCUGUCGUCAGCUCGUGUCGUGAG